rnacentral:lncRNA from 1 species
CUUUUCUAGGGCCGCUCCCAUGGCAUAUGGAGGUUCCCAGGCUAGGGGUCGAAUCGGAGCUGUAGUUGCCGGCCUUCGCCAGAGUCACAGCAACAUGGGAUCCAAGCCACAUCUUUGACCUACAACACAGCUCAUGGCAAUGCUGGAUCCUUAACCCACUGAGCAAGGCCAGGGAUCAAACCCACAACCUCAUGGUUCCUAGGUGGAUUUGUUAACCACUGUGCCACGAUGGGAACUCCUGAAGCUUUUUUUUUAAUUUUAAUUUUUUUCUUUUUAUAGCCACACCUGUGGCAUAUGGAAGUCCCUGGGCUAGGGGUUGAAUCAGAGCUGCAGCUGCUGGCCUAUGCCACAGCCACAGCAACGCAGAAUCCAAGCUAAACCUGCAACCUAUACCACAGCUCAUGGCAAUGCCAGAUUCUUAACCCACUGAACUAGGCCAGGAAUCAAAACCUCAUCCUCAUGGAGACAAUGUCGUUUCGGUCCUUAAGCCUCUGAGCCACAAUAGAAUUCCUGCUCAAUGAAGCAUUUUUAUGAUGGCUGCUUUAAAAUCCUUGUCAGGUAAUUCUAAUAUCCAUGUCAUCCCAGUGAUGGUGUCUGUUGAUUGUCUUUUCUCAUUCAAGUUGAGAUUUUCUGGUUCUUGGUAUGACGAGGGAUUUUUGGUUGAAACCUGGACAUAUUUAUUGCCUUUUUUUUGUGUGUGUCUUUUCUAGGGCCACACCUGUGGUAUACGGAGGUUCCCAGGCUAGGGGUCUAAUCGGAGCUAUAGCUGCCGGCCUAUGCCACAGCAACACCAGAUCCGAGCCACGUCUGCGACCUACACCACAGCUCACGGCAACGCUGGAUCCCUUACCUACUGAGCGAGGCCAGGGAUCGAACCUGAAACCUCAUGGUUCCUAGUCAGAUUCGUUAACCACUGAGCCUCGACAGGAACUCCCAGCUGUGGGGGUAGAAAUCCAGAUUCUCUGUUGGCCUCCAUUGACACCUAGGCAGGGAAGCCUUCUCAUUAUUGCAGGGCUGAGGUGGAAGUUCAGGUUCCAUCCCU